AUGUUCAAUAAUGCCAUUGCGUACGCUGCCCUUAGGAAGAUCGUGCGUACUGGGGCCAGAUACACUUGGACUAACAAGCAACGUGAGCCAAUCAGAUGUGUCCUGGACCGUAUCUUUUGCACUAGUGACUGGGAGGCGCUGUUUCCUCUCUGUACUUUAGUGGCGGAAACGCGCAUAGGAUCCGAUCACGUCCCGCUGAUUCUGUCCUCAGGGGAGGACAACGUGCGCCGUAGUCAUAGAUUCUUCUUUGAGACAGCUUGGUUCGAACAUGAGGGUUUCAGCCAGCUAGUCACAAAUCGCUGGUCCCAGAUCGGCAACCAGUCGGGGCGUCAACGAGGACCAGUUGAGCUCUGGUCCUCAGCGGCUGCGGCUUUGCGUGCUUUCCUUAGGGGCUGGGGAGCUAACCAUGGUAGCGAGUCCAAAAGGGAGAGGGAGCGCAUUACGGCAGAUAUAGCCCUCCUCGACUCGCAGGCCGAUAUUAGAACCUUCUCUGGUGACGAAUGGGAGCUUAGAUAUUCUCUUGAACAUCAGGUCCUGGCUAUUCUCAGGGCGAAGGAGGAAUACUGGCGCCGUAGGGGUGGUGUCAAGUGGGUAGUGAAAGGCGAUGCAAACACAGGAUACUUUCACGCUUACGCUAACGGUCGCAAACGGAAGAGCACUAUCCUUAGGCUCCAAUCAGAACGUGGGACGCUGAUAUCUCAGAACGAUAUAGCGAAAUACAUCUAUAGCUUCUUCGUUGAGCUGUUGGGAACAGCUGAGGUGAAAAACCUAAGUCUUAGGGCAGACUUUUGGGGCAUGCACGAACGAGUCUCGCAGCAGGAAAACGACGCCCUUAUGGUGUCCUUUUCGGCCCAGGAGAUUGAUUGCGCGCUUGCGGGUAUGAAGAACAACACGGCCCCAGGGCCUGACGGCUGGCCGGUGGAGUUUUUCAAGCGCUUCUGGCCGCUGCUUAGGGACUUAUUCCAAGCGAUCAUAAACGGCUUCGCCCUAGGUACGGUUGACCUGUCUCGUCUGAAUUACGGGGCCAUCUGCCUAAUCCCCAAGGUCAAAGGGGCAGAAGCUAUUACACAGUUUCGGCCGAUUACGCUC
rnacentral:rRNA from 1 species